UUUGACUUGCUUCUUAACUUCUAGACUUGACUCUUAACUUCUUUGACUUUGAUCUUAACUUUCCUUGAAUUGGAUUAUGGAUUCAAGGCUCAUGAUCUCAUGUUUAUGGAUGAUUUCAUGAUGUUUAGAUGUACCUUAGAGUGUUGGAAUCAACUUAGAAACAUAGGUACAUUGCUAAGGAACAAGUAUUAAAAGGUAGGGG
rnacentral:lncRNA from 1 species